UGCUACUAGUAUUACCUAAUUUUCUUUUCAUUGCUUCCUGCACACCAUUGAUUCUACCAGGAUUGGUUGGCUUGGAGCAUGGCUGCUUCGCCCUCGCUGUACACAGGAGAAUCACCAACCUUGGUCGUUCCGGCUGGUCUCCAUCCUCCAGUGACGGGGUGAGGCGCCAGGAGCCGACGGCCUCCGCCUGCAUUACCACGGCGCGGCUACGCCGACAGCCCUCGUCCAGGCUCCUCAUGGAGCGGCGGCAUCGGCCAACGGCCGGUACCCGGCAUGGCGACGCCAUCCGUCGCGUGAAGGGGAGAAGCCCUC
rnacentral:lncRNA from 1 species